GCGCACGGUGGAUGCCUUGGCACUAGGAGCCGAUGAAGGACGGGACAAACACCGAUAUGCUUCGGGGAGCUGUAAGUAAGCGUUGAUCCGGAGAUUUCCGAAUGGGGAAACCCACUGUCCGUAAUGGGGCAGUAUCCAUACGUGAAUCCAUAGCGUAUGGAGGGCAUACCCGGGGAACUGAAACAUCUAAGUACCCGGAGGAAAGGACAUCAACGAGACUCCGUCAGUAGUGGCGAGCGAACGCGGAUCAGGCCAGUGCCUGGCUUUAGUUUACCGGAACGGUCUGGAAUGGCCGGCGAGAUGGGUGACAGCCCCGUACGGGACGGACGAUUGCCAGGACUCGAGUAGGGCGGGACACGUGAAAUCCUGUCUGAACAUGGGGGGACCACCCUCCAAGCCUAAGUACUCCUUACCGACCGAUAGCGAACCAGUACCGUGAGGGAAAGGUGAAAAGUACCCCGGGAGGGGAGUGAAAUAGUACCUGAAACCGUGUGCUUACAAGCGG
rnacentral:rRNA from 11 species